rnacentral:rRNA from 1 species
UGGGGAAUAUUGGACAAUGGGGGGAACCCUGAUCCAGCAACGCCGCGUGAAUGAAGAAGGCCUUAGGGUUGUAAAGUUCUUUUGUUAGGGAGCAAAGGGUAAUAGCUAAUAUCUAUUAUUGCUGAGAGUACCUAAAGAAUAAGCACCGGCUAACUACGUGCCAGCAGCCGCGGUAAUACGUAGGGUGCGAGCGUUAAUCGGAAUAACUGGGCGUAAAGGGUGCGCAGGCAGUUGUAUAAGUUAGAAGUGAAAAGCCUGGGCUUAACCUAGGUCGUGCUUUUAAUACUGUACAACUAGAGUAUGUAAGAGGGGGGUGGAAUUCCAAGUGUAGCAGUGAAAUGCGUAGAGAUUUGGAGGAACACCGAAGGCGAAGGCAGCCCCCUGGGAUAAUACUGACGCUCAGGCACGAAAGCGUGGGUAGCAAACA